rnacentral:rRNA from 1 species
UACAGAGAGUGCGAGCGUUAAUCGGAAUUACUGGGCGUAAAGCGUGCGUAGACGGUUAUUUAAGUCGGAUGUGAAAGCCCCGGGCUCAACCUGGGAAUGGCGUUUGAAACUACGGAGCUGGAGUGUGGCAGAGGGAGGUAGAAUUCCACGUGUAGCGGUGAAAUGCGUAGAUAUGUGGAGGAAUACCGAUGGCGAAGGCAGCCUCCUGGGCCAACACUGACGCUCAUGCACGAAAGCGUGGGGAGCAAACAGG